rnacentral:lncRNA from 1 species
CUUUUCUUUUCUUUUUUUUUUUUCCUCACCCAUGGCAUGUAUAAGUUCCUGGGCCAGGGACUGAGUUGGUGCCACAAUUCAACCCAAGUCACAGCAAUGACAAUGCCAGAUCCUAAACCUGCUGCAUCACCAGAGAACUCCUAGAUUCAUUUCUUUACCCAGAAUCUUACUGGAAUUAUUCUGAAGGCUGAAUGAUUGAGAAAAGAGGGUCUGGAAAAUCCUCUUUCUUCUCUGGAGUCAGAAGCUUUUUGGUGUCAGCAAUCCCACUCCCAGGCAUAUAUUCAGAGAAAAAGAAUUUUAAUAGAUAUAUGCACCCCAAUGUUCAUAGCAGCAAAAAGCCAAGACAUGGAAGCAACCUAAAUGGCUAUCGAUAGAUGAAUGGAUAAAGAAGAUGUGGUAUAUAAAAACAAAAGAAUACUACCCAAUUGUAAAAAAGAAUGAAAUAAUGCCAUUGGCAAACAUAUGGAUAGACCUAGACACUAUCAGGCAAAACAAAGUAAAGAACAAACAUAUGAUAUCACUUAUAUGUGGAAUCUAAAAUAUGAUGCAAAUAAACUUAUUUACAAAACAGAAAUAGACUGACAGACAUCGAAAACAAAUUUAGGGUUACCCAAAGGGAAAUGGGAAAUAAAUUAGGAGUUUGGGAUUAGCAGAUACAAACUAUUAUAUAUAAACUAGAUAAACAAGGUCAUAUUGGGAUUAGCAGAUACAAACUAUUAUAUAUAAACUAGAUAAACAAGGUCAUAUUGUAUAGCAUAGGGAACUAUAUUAAAUAUCUCGUAAUAAACUAUAAUAGAAAAGAAUAUGAAAAGGAAUAUAUAUGUAUGUGUGUGUAACUGAAUCAGUUUGCUGCACUCUAGAAACUAACACAACAUUAUGAAUUAACUUCAAUUUAAAAAAAAUUUUUCUGGUGUCAUAAUCUACACUAAAUCUGGUGUCAUAAUCUACACUAAAAUAUUAGGCUUGCAAGCUCAGACCUCUAGGCUCUUCUUUCAGCCUCUUCACUUGGCUCAUUCCUGCCUGCCCUGAGAUGGCAUAAUUCAGCAGUCAUAACUGUUUGCACUUCCCUGAAGACACCACCCUCUCCCACAGUCUAGGACAUUGAAACCUUCUCUACUGUUUUUGAGAUCUAACUCAAGAGUUAGCAGUUGCAGGAAGUCUUCCCUAAUUCCUUCAAUCAGAGCAGGCAUUGCCCAUCAGCUUGGCAUGCCUACAGCCAUUACUACACUACAUUAUGAUUCUUGCUUAUACAUCUCUCCUCUGGUAAAUCAUAAGCUCCUUUUACAAAGUUUUGUUUGUUUUCUAGGUGCUCCAGCAUUAAAUGUAGCUCCUCACAUGAAGCUGGAGUUCAGGAAUUAAUUGUUGAAAGGAGGAAAGAGGAAAAGAAUGAUGAAAGGGAAAAGGAAAAAAAAAAUUCUUGCUGUCUCCAGAAGGAAAUCAAUGAUGUUUUCUUCAUUAUUCUCUUGGUAACUUCUUCUAACAGUUUCAUUUGUUCGUAGGCUUUUACAUAAUCGAUUUUAGUGAAGUCCCAUUGUUCUUUAAUAUUGAAGUAUUAGGACUAUGGUUUCUAAGUGUCUGGACCGUGCCAUCAUGCUUGGGAGGAAGAAUAUUAAUGACAAUUUCUUCUUUGACUUGUUUAUUUGGACUUUCAGGCAUAAGCUCAGUUAGCCCCACAUAAAGACAAAGCAAUUUGGCAGCGUUACUUACACUUCCAGUCAAGUCCUGCCCAUGUCCCCUCCUAAAUUUUUUUUUCACCCUGUUUCAUCUUCUGCAACCCCCAGCCACUGCACUGGCCCAAGCUGUCAGGCCCUUGGAUCUGAACUACUGCCACAGCUGCUUUGUAGUCAGUCAUUCCCCAGGCUUCUUGAUCCCGGACCCCUCCUCUGUCCAUCCAUCAGAAUGGGCUUUCUCAAAUUCAGUCUUCAAUUGCUUGUCUUUGCUGCAGUUAAUCACUGACAGAAUGAAUUCCCAAACUUUAAUCCACAUGGAGUUCCCAUUGUGGCUCAGGGGUUAACAAAUCUGACUAGCAUCCAUGAGGAUGCAGGUUCAGUCCCCGGCCUUGCUCAGUGGGUUAAGGAUCUGGUGUUGGCAUGAGCUGUGGUGUAGGUCGAAGAUGCAGGUUGGAUCCUGCACUGCUGUGGCUGUGGCGCAGGCCAGCAGCUACAGCUCCAAUUUGACCCCUAGCCUGGGCACCUCCACAUGCCUCAGGUGGGGCCCUGAAAAGCAAAAACAAACAAACAAACAAACCAAACUUUAAUCCGCAAAGGAAACCUCAGUGUAUCAUCACAUAAGGCUUUCCAUAAUUUAUUCUCAAUUCUGCCUAUUCUUACCAUCUUUAAACUCAAAACAAACUACCAUCUGUAUCGUUUAAUAAAGCCUCUGUAACAAGGUACCACAGAUCAGGUAGCUAAAUAACAGAAAUGUAUUGUCUUAGAAAUUCUGGAGACUAGAAGUUCAAGAUCAAGGUGUGGAUGACUUUUGAGGGCCAUGAGGGAUGAGUCUGUUCCAGGCCUCUCUCCCUGGUUUGUAGAUGGUCAUGUUCUCCCUGUGUCUUCACGCUGUUAUUCCUCUCUAUGUGUCUAUGUCUGAAUUUCCUCUUCUUAGAAGGAUACCAGUCAAUAUGGAUGGAUACAAAUCCACCCUAAUGACCUCAAUUUUACUUGAUUAUUCCUGCAAAGACCCCAUUUCUGCAGUUCCUGAUAUGACGAAAUGGGAUUGACAGCAUCUCUGCAGCACCAGGAUGAAGAUUCCAUGCCCAGCCCCACACAGUGGGUUAAAGAUCCGGCUUUGCCACAGCUGCAGCAUAGUUUAAUACUGUGGCUCAGAUCUGAUCCAUGGCCCAGGAACUCCAUAUGCCACAAAAAAGAAAAAAGCCAAGAAAAAAAAGACAUCUUUUCCAAAUAAGGUCACAUCCUGAGGUACUGAGGCUUAGGACUUCAACAUAUGAAUUUUGGGGGACACAAUUCAAUCCCUAACAUCACCCCUCCAGUUCCUUUCAUACUUCCAAGUUUUUGUGCAUGUUGGUCCAUUUGCUUGGAUUAUUUUUUACACCAACCUUGCAAUUUCUACAGGUAGAAUAGAUCAAGUAAAUUUUGUAUUUCUCCUCCUUCCUGUUCACCAUUUUCUUGAUUCCUCAUAGUUCUUCUUUCAAUGAAUGAAUGAUAUUUAUGUGUUUCCAUGUCUGUCUCCUCAUAGGUCUGUUUCCUCCUCCCCUGAGAGCAAAAAUGAUCUAAUUUGCCAUUUUGUUUGUGCCAUAAUUCCUGGCACAUUGCAGGAUAAGUAAGUGUUUUGAGGAAAACUGAAUUAGAAAUGGUGAGCCAGAGGAUAUGACACAGAAGCUGAGUCCUAGAGGAAAUCUAAAAAUUACCCAAAUAAAGAAAAUGAGGAAGAGCUCUCCAGGUCUGUCCAGAGAAGUGAAGCAAUAUGGUAUAUUUGCGAAACAACUAGUAUUUAAAGUAGUAGGUUAGAGAUUAAGGGAAGUAUGGCUAGAAAUGGAGGCAGAGGCCGUUCAUGAAGGGUGUCAUGAGUUAAGAGGAGUUCUGUCACUAUCUCAUACUCAUUCACUCGUACACACACGUGUGUGUUAUGUACUGACUUCCUGGCCCAUCAUGUUAAGUCAUUGAAAAGGUUUAAACAAAGAAGGCACAUGGUCACCUUUGUUUAUUAGAAUAUUAAUUUUGGCAGCAAAGUUAGACUGAAGAGAGCCAAUGCUGGAAACAGAGAGGCCACUGAAGGAGCUAUCAGCCUGGUCCAGGCCAGAGAUGGGAAGGGGAUGAACUGGAGAAGAUAACACAGAGACUCAAAGGAGGGAUUUCAGAAUCAUAGUGAUACUCAGCAGACCAAAGUGAAUAAUUUUAUGAUGACUUGAACAUAAAAAGGAGGAAGGAGAGAAGGAUAAAGCCCUGGUUUGGCUGGGUAACAGAGUAGAUGACAGAGCCAUUCAUAGAUGCUUCAAAGACAAAGGGGAAAAACACUUGGAAUGAGGUUAGGGGUAGGAUGGGGCAGCAGAUAAGGUGUGGGGGAAGAGAAAACAUUUAAUUGAAUGUGUUCAAGGGCUAUCCAAUUGGAGAAGCAGGUAGGUGCCCACCCACACCAGUCUGAAACUUGAGCGAGAGCUGUGGACACUGACGUCAUCUACAGAGAGUAUAACUGAAGUCAUGGCAACAGAUCCCAUAAGUCAGGAGAAAUGUACAGAGAGGGGAGUGUUAGGGAGUAAAGGAUGGACCUCCUGGGCCUGGGAGCAGCAAGGCAGCAGCUGCUGGUAACCAUAUUCAUGGCUUAGAAGACUAUCCGCUUCCUGGGUUUGUCUUGAACACUGCCAUCUAAGAACAUUUUAGUUUAUAAAGAUAAAUGUAAUCAAAGGCCAAAAAAAUAAAAAUUUUUUUUAAAAUUCUUAAAAAUUAAAAAAAUCACAAAAACCCCUGGCUUUCAGUGAUGCCAUUUUAUUCUCUUCAUUCAUUCUGCUAAUUUUGUGGUUUAUUAUUUGCUAUUCCAAAAUAUUAAAAAUGUAGUCAUUGUUCGUAAACCAAAAUCCUCUAUGAACUCAUAUAAAAUUAUAAUUGCAAUAAUUAAGCUAAAAAAAAUCCAGCAGCUGAAGGUUAAGAUCUGCCCUGGUUCUCUGCCUCCAUGAAAGCAAAAAUGGAAGUCAAAUCUUUGGCAGGAAAUCUAUUCAACCAUCACAUCCAAUGGGAGCACUGGAAUCCUCCAUUUUUAGAGUGAAAAACUCGGGGAUCAUUAAUGGGCAUGUCAUAGUAGAUGGUCAUCAAGAGUCAGCCAAUUAUAGGUUCUAGUCCUGUGUCAAGCUACACACCUGUGUUCCCUCCAUUCUCACACCUCAGUCCCUCCUCCACUGUUACAGUGCAGCCAUCUAGCCCAGGACAUGCAAGAAUAUUGUUGACCAGCCUGCUUUUCCUCAACAACACCGGUGGUAGGUGAAGGCCAUUAGUCUAUUUCUUGACUGUUUUAGGUGUCAACUCUUAAAUAUCCUCUCUAAAUUUUCAGUUUUUUCACCUAUAAAAUGGAAACUGUACUGAUUUUCUACCUAAUACUGUUGCAUUACAAACUAACUUUGGCUGUGACCGUUAUUCACCUAAUAAGAUUAGUAUACGGUUUCUGUUCCAGGUUAAACCUUUCUACUUCCAGUGCCUGUGGUAUUACAAUACCUUUGGACCCCAAAACUCCACUUCACAUUAUACUGAAGAAAAUAAUCUCAAAGGAAGAAUAACCUGUGUGCCAGAGACACUCAUUGAAAUAUUAUCUCAUAGAAAUAUAACAUUUAAAAUAGGAAAUGAAUUAAGUAAAUAUCCACUGAACAGAAUUUUAUGCAGCUCUUGCAAUGGCAUAUUUAUUAAGAAAGAACUAGAGGGAAAAUUUAAGGUGAUACCAGUGGUAUUUCUGUGAUAAUCAGAGGUGUAUAAAGAUGAUAUACUUAUAUAGAUAAAAACUUUAAGAGAAUUCACAUAAAUCAUUUUUUAAAAGGCAAAAUCUCUAGUUAUUUGUUGAGCACCAUCUAUUUCUUGUUAUUUUAUCUAUAUAUUUGAAUUUCUCAGAAAAGCUCUGUGUGGAAGAUACUGUCAUCACUACCAUUUUCAUUUAACAGAAGAGGAAAAGGGCUCAAGAAUUGCCCAGGACCAGUUUUAUUAUGUUGCAAUAAAAAGAUUAUAAAUGGAUUGUCUACUUUGUAUUGUGCUUUACAUGAAUGAUGUUGAAUCAUUUAAGGCAAUUUUUAUAGUAAUAUUUGCUAGAAAGAAGAAUAGAAUAAUGAUCUUCAUCUUGCAAUAAAUAACAGAACCAGUUCAUUUUAAACUGCAGUUAAAAAUGCACCCUUUAGAAUCGGCCAGGCUGCUUCUGCCUUUGCCAUUGUGGAAAAUGCCUUCUAACUCAUCUUGGCAGUGAACAUCUCCACUCUCUGCCUCCAGGUUCUCCGAUGGACUAGUCCAGUCACUUUCCCCUUGUGACUUUUCCCAUAAUCACUGAUGACAGUGACCAAGAAUCUCUGUUGAUUGUUAACUGGAUACAAGAAAUCAAGUGGAGCCACCUCUUUGACUGAAACUGUACCACUAUGGGUUGUAAAACACAAGAAGGAAGGAGCCCUGUGACUCCCUCUCUGUCUUGGUUGGCCCUAGUCCCUUUAAGACUACUAAUGCACACUAGCUCAGUGCAUCACCAAGAGAAAAGACUCGAAGACUCACUUAAAUGAUUGACCUAUUUCUGGGCUCUCUGUUGUUGCAAAUUACAAGAACACACUGUGUGCAUUUUCAGGUAAUUUGAUACUAUUACCUUAAAAUUCACUGGUUCCGCCUCCCCCUUCCCUCCCCUGUUCAAAAUGGAAUAUCUGACCUUUUCCCUUGGCAGACUGCUUCUCUUUUCCAGGUAACUGAUGAUGAUUUUAUACCCUGGAUGAUAAUCAAUAUGUAGAAGCUGUCUUUAUUGAUUUGGAUAAAACCACCAAUUAUGGCUAUUUUGAGCAGAGCUCAACGAGAUUAGAUGUGAUUACACUGCAACAGGGUGUGAGCCCGCUG